GCCUCCUGUCAUGUGAUAAAAUUGUAGAUUAUGCUAACGUAGUGUACCUAUAAUCUUAAUUUUAAUAAUGACAGGAGGCGAGUAUUUUCCCUCCCUGUUUCCCUCCCUAUACUCUGGAAAUUUUUUAUAUUUUGGUUUGUCAUUUUCUCAGUGUAAAUUAUAAGGUUUUGGUAUUUCAGUAUAGUUAUGGGAUGCUUAUUUGGUUGAUAUGUGUUAGAUCCGUGUUGAUUAUUAAGUAUACUAUGGUUUGUUUAAUGUUUCAG